CAGUCGCCACGGGAAUACGUAGGUGGCAAGCGUUAAUCGGAAUUACUGGGCGUAAAGCGUGCGCAGGCGGUUCUAUAAGACAGAUGUGAAAUCCCCGGGCUCAACCUGGGAACUGCAUUUGUGACUGUAGAGCUGGAGUGCGGCAGAGGGGGAUGGAAUUCCGCGUGUAGCAGUGAAAUGCGUAGAUAUGCGGAGGAACACCGAUGGCGAAGGCAAUCCCCUGGGCCUGCACUGACGCUCAUGCACGAAAGCGUGGGGAGCAAACAGGAUUAGAUACCCCAGUAGUCCCUGUCUCUUAUAA
rnacentral:rRNA from 1 species